rnacentral:rRNA from 1 species
UACGGGGGGGGUAAGCGUUGUUCGGAAUUACUGGGCGUAAAGGGCUCGUAGGCGGCCAACUAAGUCAGACGUGAAAUCCCUCAGCUUAACUGGGGAACUGCGUCUGAUACUGGAUGGCUUGGAUUCGGGAGAGGAAUGCGGAAUUCCAGGUGUAGCGGUGAAAUUCGUAGAUAUUGGGAAGAACACCGGUGGCGAAGGCGGCGCUCUGGACCGAGACUGACGCUGAGGCGCGAAAGCGUGGGGAGCAAACAGG